UGGGGAAUUUUCCGCAAUGGGCGAAAGCCUGACGGAGCAAUACCGCGUGAGGGAAGACUGCCUAUGGGUUGUAAACCUCUUUUUUCAGGGAGGAAUUAAUGACGUGUACCUGAAGAAUAAGCAUCGGCUAACUCCGUGCCAGCAGCCGCGGUAAGACGGAGGAUGCAAGUGUUAUCCGGAAUCACUGGGCGUAAAGCGUCUGUAGGUGGUCAAAUAAGUCAACUGUUAAAUCUUGAAGCUUAACUUCAAAAUCGCAGUCGAAACUAUUAGACUAGAGUAUAGUAGAGGUAAAGGGAAUUUCCAGUGGAGCGGUGAAAUGCGUAGAUAUUGGAAAGAACACCAAUGGCGAAGGCACUUUACUGGGCUAUUACUAACACUCAGAGACGAAAGCUAGGGUAGCAAAUGGGAUUAGAUACCCCAGUAGUCCUAGCUGUAAACAAUGGAUACUAGAUGUUGAACAGAUCGACCUGUGCAGUAUCAAAGCUAACGCGUUAAGUAUCCCGCCUGGGAAGUAUGCUCGCAAGAGUG
rnacentral:rRNA from 1 species